AACGAACGCUGGCGGCAUGCCUAACACAUGCAAGUCGAACGAGACCUUCGGAUCUAGUUGCGCUUGGGUGCGUUAAGCGUCGGAACCUUCCCUUAGACUCGGACUACCUCCCCUCAGGGGGUGCUCAUCACGGGUAAUGUACUCGGACCACCGAUUUAUCGCCUUGGGCGGGGCCCGCGUUGGAUUAACUGGUUGGUAGUGUAAAUGCCUACCAAGGUGACGAUCCAUAGCUGGCUUGAGAGGAUGAUCAGGCACACUGGGACUGGGACACGGCCCAGACUCCUACGGGAGGCAGCAGUGGGGAAUAUUGGACGAUGGGCGAAAGCCUGAUCCAGCAAUGCCGCGUGAGUGAUGAAGGCCUGAGGGAAGUAAAGCUCGUGUACCCGGGACUAUAAUGACGGUACCGGGAGAAUAAGCUACGGCUAACUACGUG
rnacentral:rRNA from 1 species